rnacentral:rRNA from 1 species
UGGGGAAUUUUGGACAAUGGGCGAAAGCCUGAUCCAGCAAUGCCGCGUGUGUGAAGAAGGCCUUCGGGUUGUAAAGCACUUUUGUCCGGAAAGAAAUCCUUGGCUCUAAUACAGUCGGGGGAUGACGGUACCGGAAGAAUAAGCACCGGCUAACUACGUGCCAGCAGCCGCGGUAAUACGUAGGGUGCAAGCGUUAAUCGGAAUUACUGGGCGUAAAGCGUGCGCAGGCGGUUUGCUAAGACCGAUGUGAAAUCCCCGGGCUCAACCUGGGAACUGCAUUGGUGACUGGCAGGCUAGAGUAUGGCAGAGGGGGGUAGAAUUCCACGUGUAGCAGUGAAAUGCGUAGAGAUGUGGAGGAAUACCGAUGGCGAAGGCAGCCCCCUGGGCCAAUACUGACGCUCAUGCACGAAAGCGUGGGGAGCAAACAGGAUUCAGAUACCCUGGUAGUCCACGCCCUAAACGAUGUCAACUAGUUGUUGGGGAUCAUUCCCUUAGUAACGUAGCUAACGCGUGAAGUUGACCGCCUGGGGAGUACGGUCGCAAUGAUU